rnacentral:sRNA from 1 species
UCCGUAGGUGAACCUUCGGAAGGAUCAUUAACGAGUUAGGGUCUUCCAAGGCCCGACCUCCCAACCCUAUGUUUAUUGUACCUUGUGUUGCUUCGGCGGGACCGUCUCACGCACCGCCGGAGGGCCGUAAAACGUCCUCUGGCCCGCGCCCGCCGAUGGCCCCCCACAAAAAACUCUGAAUAAAUCAUGCCUAAUUGUCUGAGUAUAAUACACAAAAAUUAAAAGCAAAACUUUCAACAACGGAUCUCUUGGUUCUGGCAUCGAUGAAGAACGCAGCGAAAUGCGAUAAGUAAUGCGAAUUGCAGAAUUCCAGUGAGUCAUCGAAUCUUUGAACGCACAUUGCGCCCUUUGGUAUUCCGAUCUGGUUUAGGCACCGCCUAGACCCCUCCUAAAGAUAAUGACGGCGGCCUCGUUGGACCCCCGGUACACUGAGCUUCUUAACUGAGCACGUAUCGGAUCAAGGGUGCGCGGGACACGGUCUUCACCCCCCUUUUUUUUUUUUAAGGUUGACCCCGGCUCAGGUAGGAACCCCCGCUGAACUUAAGCAUAUCAAUAAGCGGAGGAAAAGAAACCAACAGGGAUUGCCUCAGUAACGGCGAGUGAAGCGGCAACAGCUCAAAUUUGAAAUCUGGCCUCUUUGGGGUCCGAGUUGUAAUUUGUAGAGGAUGUUUCGGGUACCGCCUCGGUCUAAAUUUCUUGGAACAGAAUGUCAGAGAGGGUGAGAAUCCCGUCUUGGACCGGCGGUAGGGCCCAUGUGAAACUCCUUCGACGAGUCGAGUUGUUUGGGAAUGCAGCUCAAAAUGGGUGGUAUAUUUCAUCUAAAGCUAAAUAUUGGCCAGAGACCGAUAGCGCACAAGUAGAGUGAUCGAAAGAUGAAAAGAACUUUGAAAAGAGAGUUAAACAGUAUGUGAAAUUGUUGAAAGGGAAGCGCUUGCAACCAGACUUGAGCGCGGCGGUUCCCCCUUCCUUUUGGUUGGGUUACUCCGUCGUGUCCAGGCCAACAUCGGUUCUGGGGGUCGGUUAAAGGCCUGGGGAAUGUAUCUACGUCUUCGGGCGUAGACUUAUAGCCCCGGGUGUCAUGCGACCUCCCGGGACCGAGGAACGCGCUUCGGCUCGGAUGUUGGCGUAAUGGUUGUAAGCGACCCGUCUUGAAACACGGACC